UCGGUUAGGCAGAAGAUUCGAAUACAAAAGUAUAAUCAUAUUAAAAUGUACGACUUCCAAUUAUUAUAUACCACCCGUGUUUGUAAAGUGUGGAACUAUUGAUACGGAAAAUGAAUAAAUGCUAAGUGUAUUUCGUGCAUUUAACUUAUUUCUCACCGUUAUGGAUAAAGAACACAGAUUAACCAUAACAGCAUUACCUGCCCUGAUGCACUCUCCAUCAGUUCUUUUGGAACACAUUUCAUUCGUCAUCUGAUUCUUAGCCUGGUAGUCCUAGCUUCACCAC
rnacentral:lncRNA from 1 species